UACGAGGGGAGGCUAGCGUUGCUCGGAUUGACUGGGCGUAAAGGGCGCGUAGGCGGUUCGUACAGUCAGACGUGAAAUUCCUGGGCUCAACCUGGGGGCUGCGUUUGAUACGUGCGGACUUGAGUGCGGAAGAGGGUCGUGGAAUUCCCAGUGUAGAGGUGAAAUUCGUAGAUAUUGGGAAGAACACCGGUGGCGAAGGCGGCGACCUGGUCCGAUACUGACGCUGAGGCGCGAAAGCGUGGGGAGCAAACAGG
rnacentral:rRNA from 1 species